CCCACCCUGCCUGCGGCCCGCCCUGGGGUCGGCGUCGGGGAGCCCCGAAGGGCCGCGGUACCCGGGGUCCGGGCCAUGCGGCAGCCGCCCCGGCCCCUCCGCGACCACUCCCGGCCCGAGCGGGAGCCGCUGCGGCGUUUCUGCCCCGCGCUGCGCCGCCGACCCCGGACCCGGCAGCCGUGACCCCUCCCGCGGGGGCCCGACCAUGCCGUCCAAGGCGGCGAGCCUGCGGCCCUCGGAGCCGGCCCCGCAGCCGCCGGGAGGGAGGACGCUCCGGGGACCGCUUCCCGGCGCCGACGGAGCGCUGGCGCCGCGCGAGGAGUCCCCCCACGACGCCCCGAGCCCCGAGAGCCCCGCGCUGGGUGGCAGCGCUCCGGCCGCGCUCAGCGGCGAGGAACCCCCGGCCCAGGCGGCACCCAUCGCACCGCGGCCCCCCGCCAGGCCUCGGCUGGAGCGAGCCCUGUCCCUGGACGACAGAGGCUGGAGGAGGCGGCGUUUUCGCGGCAGCCAGGAGAACCUGGAAGCCCGGAAUGGGACCAGCCCCUCCAGGGGCUCCGUGCAGAGCGAGGGCCCCGGCGCCCCCGCCCACAGCGUCUCCCCGCCCUGCCUGAGCGCGUCCCUGCAGGAGAUCCCCAAGUCCCGCAGGGCCCCGGGCAGUGAGAGGGGGAGCCCGUCAUCGGGGAGUGACCCCCUCUCCGGGGUGGCCGGCAGCGCCCCGAACCUCCUGCACAGAGACGCCACCGUGGCGGGGAGCUCGCCCAGGCUGCCCGGCCUGCCGCCCCCGCGCCCCCUGCCUGCGCUGGGCCUGGACAUCGCCUCCGACUCCCUGAGGACCGCAAACAAGGUGGACCCGGAGCUUGCGGACUACAGGCUCCGCGCGCAGCCCCGCCUGGUGCGGGCCCACAGCAGCCUGGGCCCCGGCCGGCCCCGGAGCCCCCUGGCCUGCGAUGACUGCUCCCUUCGCUCGGCCAGAUCCUCCUUCAGCCUCCUGGCCCCCAUCCGCACCAAGGACGUCCGCAGCAGGAGCUACCUGGAGGGCAGCCUCCUGGCCAGCGGGGCCCUGUUGGGGGCGGAGGAGCUGGCCCGAUACUUCCCAGACCGGAAUGUGGCACUCUUUGUGGCCACCUGGAACAUGCAGGGCCAGAAGGAGCUCCCGCCCAGCCUGGACGAGUUCUUGCUCCCGGCCGAGGCCGACUACGCCCAGGACCUGUACGCCAUCGGGGUCCAGGAGGGCUGCUCCGACAGGCGGGAGUGGGAGACUCGCCUGCAGGAGACGCUGGGCCCGCACUAUGUGCUACUGGCGUCCGCCGCCCACGGUGUGCUCUACAUGGCGCUGUUUAUCCGUCGGGACCUCAUCUGGUUCUGCUCAGAGGUGGAGUCCUCCACGGUCACCACACGCAUCGUGUCUCAGAUCAAGACCAAGGGGGCCUUGGGCGUCAGCUUCACCUUUUUCGGCACCUCCUUCCUCUUCAUCACGUCCCACUUCACCUGUAAGUUGCUAGGUGCCCACAUCGCAGGUGCUGUGGGAGAAGAGCCUGACCGGGACACCAUCCGGGGCAGGGGUCCCGGCCGCUGGCUUCGUCUUCCAUCCAGGGCCUGGGGCGGGCACCGUGUUUGCAAAGACCCAUGCCGAGGACCCCACAGCCGACCCCGACAUGAGGCCUGUGCUGUGCAGAGCCCAGAGCUCUGUCCUCUAAGGCGGAAGCAUCACUGGCCGGGCCUGGCAGCAGGUUCCCAGUGGGCCUACACCUGCAAACAGUGGGCAGGCAGGCAUGGUCCAGAGGUGCUGUUCUUGAGGGAGAUUCGAGCAUCCGGAGCUGUGUGGCCCCCACCCCAUUUCUGCUCCUGCAGCUGGCGACGGGAAGGUGGCGGAGCGGCUGCUGGACUACACCAGGACCGUGCAAGCCCUGGCCCUGCCCAGAAACGUGCCAGACACCAACCCCUACCGUUCCAGCGCAGCGGACGUCACCACCCGCUUCGACCAGGUGUUCUGGUUCGGAGACUUCAAUUUCCGCCUGAGCGGCGGGCGCGCGGCCGUGGAUGCCCUCCUGGGCCAGGGCCUGGCAGUGGAUGUGCCGGCGCUGCUGGAGCACGACCAGCUCAUCCGGGAGAUGAGGAGAGGGUCCAUCUUCAAGGGCUUCCAGGAGCCGGACAUUCACUUCCUCCCGUCAUACAAGUUUGACAUUGGGAAGGACACGUACGACAGCACCUCCAAGCAGAGGACGCCUUCCUACACGGACCGCGUCUUGUACCGAAGCCGCCACAAGGGUGACAUCUGUCCAGUGAGGUACUCUUCCUGCGCCGGGAUCAGGACGUCCGACCACCGCCCCGUGUACGGCCUGUUCCGGGUGAAAGUGAGGCCCGGGCGAGACAACAUUCCCCUGGCAGCCGGCAAAUUUGAUAGAGAACUGUACUUGAUAGGAAUUAAAAGACGGAUUUCGAAGGAAAUUCAGAGGCAGCAAGCGCUGCAGAGUCAGAGCUCCAGCACCAUCUGUUCCGUUUCUUGAAGUUUGCUGAACAAGGACUCAAAACUGCGAUACGGGGUGGUUGUAUCUUAGCAAAACCCACUGGGAAGAACAAAGAAUGGGCCGCCUUUUGGGGACCCGAGAACCAAUGCCGGGCCACGGGACUGUGCCUGCGUCCCCGGAGGGAAGCCACCCCUCACAGCCGAGCGAGCCCACCCUUGUCCGUGGCAGGUCCGCCGGCAUGGAUGCACAGGGCUUACACCCGCCUGGCGGCACCACAUCCCAGCCACUCUCUGGGUGACAUCAGAAUCCAGUCCUCAGCAGCUCCCAUGCCCUGGGGAGUCACUGGGCCCCGUGCUCUGCACCGGCCUCUCCACACCCGCGGCAGGCGCCCAUCUGUGUCGUCCUGCCAGCCCGUCAAACACGCGCCAAGGGCUGGGUCCUCCCUUGUCUGAGCACCCCAUGUCACACAGGUGUCCAGAGUGAGGCUGCAUCUGGAGUGGGUGACCCUCAGGCCUCAGAGCUGGCUCCAGAGCCCAGCUGAGGAAGCCAUAGUUUCCAGGAUGUGACGUGGUUCACCCCUCACUAGGCUGCAGGUCGCCUGCUGUGGGGCGAGGAGGCCAGCACCCCAGCAUGAGGGCUGCCCCCGCCCCCAGAGUGAGAAGCCACCUCCCCGUUUUUCUCAGGCCAAGCCUGCAGGCGAGAAAGCCUCUCAUGGCUUUGGUGACUUAGACCAUUCGCUUCUGUAACUACAGCCACAGAAUGAUGUUAAUGGAGCCGUGUGGAGCCUAGGCGGGAAACUGCUGGAAGCCCAGGAUGCCACCACCUUGAACACCGAGGCCAGGGAUACCCCCCACGUCCAGGCUCGCUCUUAAAGAGUUCAGACGUGUCCGUCCCUACAGCCCCAGGCUCUGCUUGGAAAGUUUAGAUCCAUCCAUUCUUGCUUUGUGUCCCAUCCCAUCUCUUGCAAAAAAUGUAGUCUUUGAAUGUGAAAAUCUAGGCACAUUCAACCUAGUCUUUUAAAUUAUUUAUUUUUCCAUAUUUAUAUUUUUAAAUAAAUGCAUAUAUUGAGUCUAAACUCUUUCUGGUCA